rnacentral:rRNA from 1 species
UUACACAAAUAUGAAGGCGGGCUGGAACCUCUCGGGGUUACAGCCUUGCUGAAUUAUUCACCCUUGUCUUUUGCGUACUUCUUGUUUCCUUGGUGGGUUCGCCCACCACUAGGACAAACAUAAACCUUUUGUAAUUGCAAUCAGCGUCAGUAACAAAUUAAUAAUUACAACUUUCAACAACGGAUCUCUUGGUUCUGGCAUCGAUGAAGAACGCAGCGAAAUGCGAUAAGUAGUGUGAAUUGCAGAAUUCAGUGAAUCAUCGAAUCUUUGAACGCACAUUGCGCCCUUUGGUAUUCCAAAGGGCAUGCCUGUUCGAGCGUCAUUUGUACCCUCAAGCUUUGCUUGGUGUUGGGCGUCUUGUCUCUAGCUUUGCUGGAGACUCGCCUUAAAGUAAUUGGCAGCCGGCCUACUGGUUUCGGAGCGCAGCACAAGUCGCACUCUCUAUCAGCAAAGGUCUAGCAUCCAUUAAGCCUUUUUUUUCAACUUUUGACCUCGGAUCAGGUAGGGAUACCCGCUGAACUUAAGCAUAUCAAUAAGCGGAGGAAAAGAAACCAACAGGGAUUGCCCUAGUAACGGCGAGUGAAGCGGCAACAGCUCAAAUUUGAAAUCUGGCUCUUUUAGAGUCCGAGUUGUAAUUUGCAGAGGGCGCUUUGGCUUUGGCAGCGGUCCAAGUUCCUUGGAACAGGACGUCACAGA